GAUGAAGAACGUAGCGAAAUGCGAUAAGUAAUGUGAAUUGCAGAAUUCAGUGAAUCAUCGAAUCUUUGAACGCACCUUGCGCCCUUUGGCUAUUCCGAAGGGCAUGCCUGUUUGAGUAUCGUGAACACCUCAACUCUCAUGGUUUGCCAUGAUGAGCUUGGACUUGGGGGUUUUGCUGGCCCUCGGUCGGCUCCUCUCAAACGGAUCAGCUUUCCAGUGUUUGGUGGCGUCACGGGUGUGAUAACUAUCUACGCCUGUGGUUUUCUGCCAGAUAACCUUCAGCGAUGGAGGUUCGCUGGGGCUCAUAAAUGUCUCUCUUCAGUGGAGACAGCUUUUUGGACGUUUGAUCUCAAAUCAGGUAGGACUACCCGCUGAACUUAAGCAUAUCAAGAAGCGGAGGA
rnacentral:misc_RNA from 1 species